rnacentral:rRNA from 1 species
CGGGGAAUAUUGGACAAUGGGCGCAAGCCUGAUCCAGCCAUGCCGCGUGAGUGAUGAAGGCCCUAGGGUUGUAAAGCUCUUUCACCGGUGAAGAUAAUGACGGUAACCGGAGAAGAAGCCCCGGCUAACUUCGUGCCAGCAGCCGCGGUAAUACGAAGGGGGCUAGCGUUGUUCGGAUUUACUGGGCGUAAAGCGCACGUAGGCGGACUAUUAAGUCAGGGGUGAAAUCCCGGGGCUCAACCCCGGAACUGCCUUUGAUACUGGUAGUCUUGAGUUCGAGAGAGGUGAGUGGAAUUCCGAGUGUAGAGGUGAAAUUCGUAGAUAUUCGGAGGAACACCAGUGGCGAAGGCGGCUCACUGGCUCGAUACUGACGCUGAGGUGCGAAAGCGUGGGGAGCAAACAGG